rnacentral:lncRNA from 1 species
AUUCUGGGAUAGAGCCAGGCACGGGAAGAUGUGACGAGGGGGGACACUUGGUGCCUGAGCCCAGGCCUUCCCCUGCCCCUGCUCCCACGGGUCACAUACACACCGUGAACCAUAGAUGAUGAUGAUGAUGAUUAUUAUUAUCAUAGAGCAACAAGGACAGGAAUGGAGAGAAACCUGCAAGGCGAGAAGUGUGUCAGAGGAGCACCCUGGAAACGAGAAUUACUUCCGUGUAAUCAGAAAAGGCUAUUUCUGUAAGGAAAAAUAAAAACGAAUAAACAGAAUCAACUGAAGCUGUGGCUCCAGAACUCCCAGUAACAGAGGAAGUCCUGUGAGGCUCCUUAGCCUGAAAUUCCU